GAGUUUGAUCCUGGCUCAGAACGAACGCUGGCGGCAUGCCUAACACAUGCAAGUCGAACGAGAUCCUUCGGGGUCUAGUGGCGCACGGGUGCGUAACGCGUGGGAAUCUGCCCCUUGCUUCGGAAUAACAGUUAGAAAUGACUGCUAAUACCGGAUGAUGACUUCGGUCCAAAGAUUUAUCGGCAAGGGAUGAGCCCGCGUAGGAUUAGGUAGUUGGUGGGGUAAAGGCCUACCAAGCCGACGAUCCUUAGCUGGUCUGAGAGGAUGAUCAGCCACACUGGGACUGAGACACGGCCCAGACUCCUACGGGAGGCAGCAGUGGGGAAUAUUGGACAAUGGGCGAAAGCCUGAUCCAGCAAUGCCGCGUGAGUGAUGAAGGCCUUAGGGUUGUAAAGCUCUUUUACCCGGGAUGAUAAUGACAGUACCGGGAGAAUAAGCUCCGGCUAACUCCGUGCCAGCAGCCGCGGUAAUACG
rnacentral:rRNA from 2 species